AUUGAACGCUGGCGGCAGGCCUAACACAUGCAAGUCGAACGAGUGGCGGACGUGUGAGUAAUGUCUGGGAAACUGCCUGAUGGCGGGGGAUAACUACUGGAAACGGUAGCUAUUACCGCAUACCAUCGGAUGUUCCCAGAUGGGAUUAGCUAGUGGGUGGGGUAACGGCUCACCUAGGCGACGAUCCCUAGCUGGUCUGAGAGGAUGACCAGCCACACUGGAACUGAGACACGGUCCAGACUCCUACGGGAGGCAGCAGUGGGGAAUAUUGCACAAUGGGCGAAAGCCUGAUGCAGCCAUGCCGCGUGUAUGAAGAAGGCCUUCGGGUUGUAAAGUACUUUCAGCGGGGAGGCGUUACCCGAAGAGGAAGCACCGGCUAACUCCGUGCCAGCAGCCGCGGUAAUUC
rnacentral:rRNA from 1 species